rnacentral:rRNA from 1 species
GACGAACGCUGGCGGCGUGCUUAACACAUGCAAGUCGAACGGAAAGGCCCUGCUUUGGUGGGGUGCUCGAGUGGCGAACGGGUGAGUAACACGUGAGUAACCUGCCCUUGACUGUGGGAUAACUUCAGGAAACUGGGGCUAAUACCGGAUAGGAGCUCCGGCUGCAUGGGGGGGGGUGGAAAGUUUCGGCGGGUGGGGAUGGACUCGCGGCUUAUCAGCUUGUGUGGGGGGUAGUGGCGUACCAAGGCUUUGACGGGUAGCCGGCCUGAGAGGGUGACCGGCCACAUUGGGCCUGAGCUGCGGCCCAGACUCCUACGGGAGGCAGCAGUGGGGAAUAGUGCACAAUGGGCGGAACCCUGAUGCAGCCCCGCCGCGUGCGGGAUAACGGCCUUCGGGUUGUAAACCGCUUUCGCCUGUGACGAAGCGUGAGUGACGGUAAUGGGUAAAGAAGCACCGGCUAACUACGUG